rnacentral:rRNA from 1 species
GACGAACGCUGGCGGCGUGCUUAACACAUGCAAGUCGAACGGAAAGGCCCUGCUUUUGUGGGGCGCUCGAGUGGCGAACGGGUGAGUAACACGUGAGUAACCUGCCCUUGACUUUGGGAUAACUUCAGGAAACUGGGGCUAAUACCGGAUAGGAGCUCCUGCUGCAUGGUGGGGGUUGGAAAGUUUCGGCGGUUGGGGAUGGACUCGCGGCUUAUCAGCUUGUUGGUGGGGUAGUGGCUUACCAAGGCUUUGACGGGUAGCCGGCCUGAGAGGGUGACCGGCCACAUUGGGACUGAGAUACGGCCCAGACUCCUACGGGAGGCAGCAGUGGGGAAUAUUGCACAAUGGGCGGAAGCCUGAUGCAGCAACGCCGCGUGCGGGAUGACGGCCUUCGGGUUGUAAACCGCUUUCGCCUGUGACGAAGCGUGAGUGACGGUAAUGGGUAAAGAAGCACCGGCUAACUACGUG